UACGUAGGCAGCGAGCGUUGUUCGGAGUUACUGGGCGUAAAGGGUGUGUAGGCGGUUUUCUAAGUUUGGUGUGAAAUCUCCCGGCUUAACCGGGAGGGUGCGCCGAAAACUGGGAGACUAGAGUGCGGGAUGGGAGAGUAGAAUUCCUGGUGUAGCGGUGAAAUGCGUAGAUAUCAGGAGGAAUACCGGUGGUGUAGACGGCUCUCUGGACCGCAACUGACGCUGAGACACGAAAGCGUGGGUAGCAAACAGG
rnacentral:rRNA from 1 species